rnacentral:rRNA from 1 species
UACGUAGGGGGCAAGCGUUGUCCGGAUUUAUUGGGCGUAAAGAGCGUGUAGGCGGCUUUGCAAGUCCGUUGUGAAAACUCGAGGCUCAACCUCGAGACGCCGGUGGAAACUGCAAGCUAGAGUCCGGAAGAGGAGAGUGGAAUUCCUGGUGUAGCGGUGAAAUGCGCAGAUAUCAGGAAGAACACCCGUGGCGAAGGCGGCUCUCUGGGACGGUACUGACGCUGAGACGCGAAAGCGUGGGGAGCGAACAGG